UACGUAGGGGGCAAGCGUUAUCCGGAUUUACUGGGUGUAAAGGGAGCGUAGACGGCUUUGCAAGCCAGAUGUGAAAGCCCGGGGCUCAACCUCGGGACUGCAUUUGGAACUGUAUGGCUGGAGUGUCGGAGAGGCAGGCGGAAUUCCUAGUGUAGCGGUGAAAUGCGUAGAUAUUAGGAGGAACACCAGUGGCGAAGGCGGCCUGCUGGACGAAGACUGACGUUGAGGCUCGAAAGCGUGGGGAGCAAACAGG
rnacentral:rRNA from 1 species